AUGCAUUGGGUGGGAAGAUGUUUUAUUGGGUUUUGUUAUUUUGCAUGCAAAGGUAGCCAUUACAGGACCCACUUCACCGGACCUCUGCUAUCCAUAUGUUU